AGCAAAAGAUGAGAAAGCAAGUCCAGGACAGGUUUGUUGGGCUGAUUUUCUCAAGUUCACCUUGCAGCUUAGCCGUCUCUUUAUCCAAACAUUCUUUACCUGCUGUUAAUCAGUCUGGAAGAAGAUGAUCCUCCUGAUGCAUGGUCAGAAGGUCAAAAUCAGCUUAAUGCUAUGUCACAAUAGCUACAUCAUUAAAAUUACUUCAUCACAUAGGCAUUUUAUCAUCUCACAACAUUGCAAGAGGAAAGCUUUCUAGCACACUGAAAUCUUGAGGAAGACCAGAGAUGUUUUACAGAAAGGAAGAUAUUACAUCUUGUCUAUGAGCAGCAAAUAAAAUUUCUGAACCCACUACAAUAAAAUAAAAUAUUAACA